GACGGAGGAUGCAAGUGUUAUCCGGAAUCACUGGGCGUAAGCGUCUGUAGGUGGUUCGAAAAGUCCACUGUUAAAAAUUGAGGCUUAACUUCAAAGAUGCCGUGGAAACUUUCAAACUAGAGUAUGGUAGGGGUAGAGGGAAUUUCCAGUGGAGCGGUGAAAUGCGUAGAUAUUGGAAAGACCACCGAUGGCGAAGGCACUCUACUGGGCCACUACUGACACUGAGAGACGAAAGCUAGGGGAGCAAAUGGG
rnacentral:rRNA from 1 species